rnacentral:lncRNA from 1 species
UACCAUGGUUUCAUAAACACACAAGGAUCCCGCCUUGGGAAUCAUCCAACACCAACAACAUGAUCAUCAACAUUCAACAACAUCAACAUCCUACAACAUGAACAUCAUAAUUAUGGGUCAACGCUUGAGUCUUAUAAUCAAAACAUGAAUUUAAUCUCAACAAAAACAAGAACCUCAAUUUCAAACCACCUAAAUCAUGAAAAAAAUUAAUAAAAAUAUAUUCUUUGAAUUUAAAGAGAGAUUCUUGAACUUCUUAGGUGGAAGGAACCCAAGAAUCAAUAUUUGCAUACCUCAAAUUUGUGAAUCCGAAUGAACUAUUGAUUCCGGAACUCUAUUUGUAAGAUUAGUGGGUGCUCCUUGUAGCUCUCAAAAUGGAGAUUCUGAAUCUCAAAAAAUUAUUGAAAACCACAGAUGAAUUUUGAGAGAUCUUGAAUUCUUGGUUGAAGCUCAAUUGUUUGGUUCUUAAGAAUUUUCAUAAAAAUGACCAAAAUUUGGUCCAAUGUAAGCUAAAUCCCGUGUUAAAGCAUGAUUGGGGGAUGGGAAAUGUCCAUUUUGCCCCUGGAAAGAUGGAGCUGGAAAUUGAUUUUUGGCCUAGGGCUAUCUAGCAGGCAGCGCCUGGACUAUAGCCUGUGAUCCAGCGGAAGGCGCCUGCCUUAUAGACUGCGAUCUAGCGGGCGAAGCCUGACUUAUAGUUGGAGAUCCAGCGGGAGACUCGGGCCUAUCGCCUCAAUCUACUAGUUCUAAAAUCCAAACAUGAUCUUAUGCAUUCUAAAAAAUUCUGGAAACUCACCUGACAUGUACUAUGACCUUGCCCCAUCGCAACGCAACUUAAAAAUCAAAAUUUGCAGGUCGGGAAGGUCACAAAAUAAUUCGUCGAAGUUCACACGCUUAUGGAAUGAAGAAAAUUUCAAUACUUAGCCAAAUUUUUAGGUGUUAAACUUCUCUUGACAAGCUCGGAAAGGCUUUAACGACUCAAAAAACUUAUGGGGUAUUACAUUAUCUCCCCCUUGGGAAUAAUCAUCCUCAAAUUUCUCUUGAUAAGCUAUGAGUACUGAUCAACUGAAAUUACUCAAGGGUUGAGAACAUCUGAGACAUAUUUAUAUAACGGGAACUACUGAUAUACUGAAUCUUAUACUUGAACAUAUAUAUCUGAUGCAUAGAAUACUCGACUGAUAAUAUUGAUAAGCUGAAUUCUCAUACGGGACAUGCAUAUCUGAUGCAUGGAUUUAUAACUGAGUCAUUCUCAUGAACGCAUGGUUGAAUAUGCUAAUAAGCUGAACACUCUCAGCUGAACAUAAAUAUCUAAUGCAUGAAGAUCUGACUGAACUUACUCUUGAAAGCUUGACUGACUAUGCAAUGACUACUGAAGUAAAGCUUGUAAUAAGGAUCUGUGCAUGUAACUGAGUGGGGUAUCUCCCCCUUGGGACACUAUGUCCCUUUAAGAACACUUACUUCACUUAGAUACUCCAGAAAUUCUGUGGUGAUGCACAAGUCAUUUAUGAUCUAAAUCGUAAUCUUAGCUGAACUCGCAACUACUAGAAUGUUCUAUCUUGGGAUGAGUACAUCCCCAAGACUUCUGAUCGCAUGAUUAAAUAAAGAGAUUGAGAAAAUAAACUAUAUGAAUGUAACUGGCUGACUUCUGAACCGACUGCUGGCUUUACAAGCUAACGCAUACUGAAACUUAAGCUCAGACAGGAGAAAAAGAUCUAACAAUACAAAUCAUAAGGAUAAAAGGCUCAUAACUUACCCGAAUCUCUGUUAGGGAAACUUUCAUGAUCAUGGCUAGCCUGAAGUGCAUAUAAUCUAUUAUGAGCUAUCGGAUGACUAUGCUGACUUCGGGGACCUGUCUUAAGGCAGUCUCAAACUUUAUGACCUGGCUUUCCACAUCCAAAACACACAUCACUACCGGCUCUACAUACUUCCUUAUGACUCUUACCAUAUUCUUCACAUAGAGGGUAGGUAAUACCCCUGCUCUCAUUACACUGGGCAUUGGAGCGUGGUGCACUAACUGAGGAUGGAGCUGGGACUGAAAACUUUUGACUAUAGUGAGAAUGGUUACCACCCUGUGACCCUGCUUAGGAGAAACUAUGACUACUUGUUCUAGCUUUCUUAUUAGAUCUUUCUCUUUCCUCAUCUUAUCUAACUUAAUCUCCUGUACAUGCAUCAUCAAUAUCGUAAGGUUUAUCUCUCUAUUAAGCAUAGCACUUUUACACUCGUUCAACACCAACCAUGAUACACCAGUCACAAACUUACUCAUACUCACUCUAGGGUCAGCUAUCAACUCGGGGUCAUACUUAGCUAACUGAUUAAACUUAAGAUAAUACUCCUUAAUAGUCAUGGAGAUCUAUCUCAGGUUCAUAAUCUCCUCUACCUUAGUUUUUCUCAUUUCUAGCGGGAAGAACUUAUCUAAAAAGGCAUCCUAAACUACUUGCCAGGUCAUGGGAGCAUCAUCCUCUCCUGUACCCUUCCUCCAUGCUGCAACCCAAUCAUAAGCAAUGUUUCUCAGCCUAUAGGAGGCCAGUUCUACACUUUCUUCCUAAGAUACAAGCAUAACCUGGGUGAUUUUCUUUACCUCCUCUAGAAACAACUGCAGGUCCUCGUCUGCCUUAGACCCAAGGAACUCAAGAGGAUUCAUCCUUAUAAAGUCACAAAGUCUAGCUGCGGCUCCAUCACCACUUUUUUAUGUGGAGCAGCAGUCUGAGUAUUGAACCGCAUAGAAAUAGUCACAGCUUGGGCCAAUGUCUGAAAAGCAGACCGAAAUUUGGCAUGAGAUAUAUUCUCAUUCUGGGGAUCUACUGGCUGAGGAACAAGGAUUAGAAUGAAAUUUUAACUUGAUCUUUUACUCACUGGAAUAACAUGAACACUGAAAAAAAGGAAACUUUUUCCUACAACAUCUUAUAGCCUCUUGUACAUAAAUGUGGCGCGCAAUACACCCAUGUACAAAACUCUACUAGAUGUGGCAUUUUAAACUUCCUAGGACACCUAUUGAACCUUAGGCUCUGAUACCAAGUUUGUAACACCUCAAUUUUUUUAUGAUCGGAACAUCUCACAGUGCUUGUAAUCCCAAAGGACCACAAGCUAACCUUCUUUCGAUAUCUGUACCUGUUCACCGCAUAAUAUAAUAAAAUACAUGCGGAAAACUGGCGGAAACUUUCAUAAGGUUAAAAAUAUCUAAAAUACAUAAAUCUGCAAACUAAAUACUUAUAUAUAUGUCCGAAAGGCCUCUAACUGUCUAAACUAUAGAGUUGAUGGGACAUGUCCCCAACUAACUCCGGGUAAUAAAAUAGAGUGGAUGUAAUACUUCCACUGAAAUAAUAAUUGUCUCCAAAUGAAAAGGACUCACAAGUACAUCUACUGCUGCUGAAAGAAACUGGGCUGCUAAGGGUGCUCUAGGUCUCGUGCUUCUGAACCUAUGGUGUUAAAUAAAAUAACAACACUAUAGCACAAAUACGUCAGUACGAUGGAAUGUACUGAGUAUCCAAAUGAGGUAAGGCUAAAUGCAAGGGCUUAUGCAUGAACAUAACCUAAUUGAAUAAUAUGCAAUAGCUGGAUUAACAAACAUAGAGAAUCUGUAACUAAUGAUCAUACUGCGCAUACUAUCACUGAGCAUACUAGGACUAACUCUUGUAACUAAUACUGAAUUUACUCAAAUUCUUGAAUUUCUGAACAUAUUGAGAUUUAUGAAUAUCUGAAGCAACUGAAACUAAUAGCAACCCUAUCUAACGGAUUGUCUCUAAAUCUAAUAGUAUUAAGAUUAUUGACUGAAUCUGAGAUCAACUCUAUCUAGCAGGUAGUCUCUGAAUUUGUGGGUAAUAAUAUUUUAUUAACUGAAUCUGAGAUAGACCUAUCUAGCAGCGGAUCUUCGAAUUUGCAAAUAAUCAUACUUGAUGGCCUGUAUGUAAUAGCCUUAAAUUCUAUACACUGAACUGAGCUCUUUCUUGAAGUCUGAGACUGAUUCUAAAACUGAGACUGUAGGAAGUAGUUAUCUAACCGACAUGCCCCAAAUAAGUGACUAUUGCUGAAUUCAAGGUCCAAUCUAUAACCCUAAUUGGAAGGGUGUUUGUACCGCGCCACUGGUAAAGACAACUUUACAUUACCCUCUUCUAUCAGGUACUCAAGCGAGAAUGGUGAAUCCAUCAUCCAACAGGUCAAGCCACCUCAUCUACCCUCAAUUAUCAGGUAUGAUGUCUUAACCUAUGCUGGCAUCUUAGUUCUGGAGCACAAGGAUUGCUGCUAGGAAUCACACUCUCUACUAAUAGGUGAGUUCCCAUACUUGAGCUCACUCAGUGCUGAGUUCUACUCCCAUCUGAAAGACUCGGAACUGAUUCUUAACUGAGCUUAGACUAAGCUGAAUCUUGUUACAAAUUUUCUUACUUAACUGAUAUUAUUGAGUUUACUUGGUUCUGUAUCUGACGAGAUACUACUGAAUUCUACUCUCUGUGUGAUUGCUAUUGAAUCUCGUAUCUUAUCAAUCUUUACUGAAGUCUUUACUAUAUACUGAAUACUACUGAGAUUUGAACUGAGUACUGAGCUUGAUUAAACUGAAUACUGAGAUUAUCAAAUUUUUUUACUGUUCUGUCAUUGACUGAGUUCUACUGAUCAUAGAACGACUGAUAUUAUCUUGAGAAUGACUCGGAUCUAGGCACCCAACUAUGUUUUUCAGGUACAAGUACCCCCAGGACUCGAUAGAAGGAAACUGACACAACAUGACUUUCUUGAUCAUAGGACUAAAGUCAAUAAUUCAUAAUAUCAUAAGUUGGGGAUUUCAUACUACAUAUAGUUCUUGUAAUCUUAACAUGAGAGAGAAUGCAUAUACAUUACAUCAUGAGUUCUUCAAUCUAGUUUCAUGAACAUUCCAUCAACAAUCAUAAUACACAACAAUAUCAUGAGCAUUCCAUAAAACAUCUUCAAUACAAGACAAUAGCAUGAAAAUCAUGUUGAACAUAAGUAUAGAACAUGGACUUGUCAUUUAGGUCCUAUUGAGUCAUAAAGACAUGAUUUAUAGUCUCUUGGACAUUUUAACAAAUACCUUGCAUGCCCAUCUUAGGCAUAGGUUAAAUCAUCAAAAUUACACAUCACAAUGACCCAAUUUACAUGCUUCCAAUUCAUAUACUACCAUGGUUUCCUAAACACACAAGGAUCCUAUCUUGGCAAUCAUCCAACACCAACAAUAUGAUCAUCAACAUUCAACAACAUCAAUAUCAACAUCCCACAACAUGAACAUCAUAAUUAUCACAUACUGGGGUCAAGGCUUGAGUCUUAUAGUCAAAACAUGAAUUUAAUUUCAACAAUAGCAAGAACUUUAAUUUCAAACCACCUAAAUCAUGAAAAAAAAUCAUAAAAAUAUAUUCUUUGAAUUUAAAAAGGAAUUCUUAAACUUUUUGGGUGAAAGGAUCCCAAGAAUGAACACUUGCAUACCUCAAAUUUGUGAAUCCAGAUGAACUAUUGAUUUCGUAACUCUAUUCGUAAGAUUUGAAAGUGCUCCUUGUAGCUCUCGAAAUGGAGAUUUCGAAUCUCAAAAAAUUAUUGAAAAUCAUAAAUGAAUUUUGAGAGAUCUUGAAUUCUUGGUUGAAGCUCAAGUGUUUGGUUCUUGAGAAUUUUCAGAAAAAUGACCAAAAUUUGUUCCAAUGUAAGCUAUAUCCCGUGUUAAAGCAUGAUUGGGGUAUGGGAAAUGUCCAUUUUACCCCAGGAAAGACGGAGCUAGAAGCUGAUUUUUGGCCUGAGGCUAUCCAGCAGGCGGCGCCUGGACUAUUGCCCGCGAUCCAGAGGCGCAUGCCUUAUAGCCUGCGAUCCAGUGGACAACGCCUGGCUUAUAGACCGCGAUCCAGCGGGCAACGCGAGCCGAUCGCCUCGAGCUACUGGUUCUGAAAUCCAAACAUGGUCUUAUGCAUUCCAAAAAAUUCUGAAACUCACCCGAGAUAUACUAUGACCUUACCCCAUCGCUAUGCAACUUGAAAAUCAAAAUUAAGAGGUCGGGAAGGUCACAAAAUAAUUUAUCGAAGUUCACAAGCUUAUGGAAUGAAGAAAAUUUAAAUACUUAGCCAAUUUAUAUAGUGCUAAGCUUCUCCUGACAAGCUAGGAAAGGCAUUAACAACUCAAAAAACUUAUGAGGUAUUACAUUAUCUCCCCCUUGGGAACAUUCGUCCUCAAAUAUCCUUGAUAAGCUACAAGUACUGAUCAACUAAAAUUACUCAAGGGUUGAGAACAUCUGAGACAUAUAUAUAUAACAGGAACUACUGACAUACUGAAUCUUAUACUUGAACAUGCAUAGCCGAUGCAUAGAAUACUCGACUGAUAAUAUUGAUAAGCUGAAUUCUCAUACGAGACUUGCAUAUCUGAUGCAUGGAUUUAUAACUGAGUCAUUCUCAUGAAUGCAUGACUGAAUAUGCUGAUAAGCUGAACUUUCUCUGCUCAACAUGCAUAUCUAAUACAUGAAGAUCUGACUGAACUUACUCUUGAAAGCUUGACUAACUAUGCAAUGAUUUUGAUGCAAAGCUUGUAAUACGAAUCUUUGUGUGUAACUGAAUGGGGUAUCUUCCCCUUGGGACACUAUGUUCCUCUAAGAACACUUACUUCACUGAGAUACUCGAGAAAUUCUGAGGUUAUGCACAAGGCAUCAAUGAUCUGAAUCGUAACUAGGCAUGUCUCAUGAUCUUAGCUAAACUCUCAACUACUAGAAAGUUCUAUCUUGGGAUGAGUACAUCCCCAAGACUUCUAAUCGCAUGAUUAAAUAAAGAUAUUGAGAAAAUAAACUAUAUGAAUAUAAUUGGUUGACGGCUGAACCGACUACUGGGUUUACAAGCUAACUAAUGCUGAAACUUAAGCUCAGAUGGGAGCAAAAGAUCUAACAAUGCAAAUCAUAAGGAUAAAAGGCUCAUAACUUACCCAAAUCUCUGUUAGGGAAACUUUCAUGAUCAUGGCUAGCCUGAAGUCCAUACAAUCUGUUAUGAGCGGCAGGACGACUAUACUGACUUCGAGGACCAGUCUUAGGGCAGUCUCAAACUUUGUGACUUGGCUCACCACAUCCAAAAUACACAUCACUACCGGCUCUACAUACUCCUUUAGGAUUCUUACCACAUUCUUACACAGCGGGUAGGAAGACCCCCGAUCUCACUACCCUGGGCUUUAGAGCACGGUGCACUAACUUAGGAUGGAGCUGGGACUGAAAACUUUUGACUAUGGUGAGAACGUUACCACCCUGUGACCCUGAUUGGGAGAAACUAUGACUACUUCUUCUAGCUUUCUUAUUAGAUCUCUCUCUUUCCUUCAUCUUAUCUGACUCAAUCUGUUGCGCAUGUAUCAUCAAUCUUGCAAGGUUCAUCUCUCUAUUAAGUAUAGCACUUCUACACUCCUUCAACACUAACCCAGAUACACCAGUCACAAACUUACUCAUACUCACUCUAAGGUCAGCUAUCAACUCGGGGGCAUACUUAGCUAACUGAUUAAACAUAAGACAAUACUCAUUAACAUUCAUGGAGCCCUAUCUCAGGUUCAUAAACUCCUCUACAUUAGCUUCUCUCAUUUGUAGCGGGAAGAACUUAUCUAGAAAGGCAUCCUGAAAUACUUGCCAGGUCAUGGGAGCAUCAUCCUCUUCUCUACCCUUCCUCAAUGCUACAACCCAUUCAUAAGCAAUGUCUUUCAGCCUAUAGGAGGCCAGUUCUAAACUUUUUUCAUCAGAUACAUGCUUAACCUAGGUGAUUUUCUUCACCUCCUCUAGAAACAACGGAGGGUCCUUGUCUGCCUUAGAUCCAAGAACUCAAGAGGAUUCAUCCUCAUAAAUUCAAGAAGUUUGGUUGCAUCUACAUCACCAUUUUUCUUAUGUGGAGCAGCAGUCUGAGUAUUGGACUGCACAGAAACAGUCGCAGCUUGGGCCAAUGUUUGAAAAGCAGCCCAAAAUUUGGCAUGAGAUACAUUUUCAUUCUGGGGAUCUACUGGCCGAGAGGCUGACUGGUUCCCUAUUCUCUUCUUAGGAGGCAUGUUCUGCAAAUGGAAGAGGAACAAGGAUUAGACUAAAAGUUUAACUUGAGCUUUUACUCACUGGCACGACAUGAACACUGAAAGAAGGGAAACUAUUUCCUACAACAUCUUAUAGCCUCUUGUACAUAAAUGUGGCGCGCAACACACCCAUGUACAAGACUCUACUAGAUGCGGCUUUUUAGACUUCCUAGGAUACCUAAUGAACCUUAGGCUCUGAUACCAAGUUUGUAAUGCCCCAAUUUUUCUAUAACCAAAACAUCACACGGUGCUUGUAAUCCCAAAGGACCAUAUGCUAACCCUCUUCUGAUAUAUGUACUUGUUCACUGCAUAAUAUAAUAAAAUACAUGCAAAAAAAUGGCAAAAACUUGCCAUAAGGUUCAAAAUAUCUAAAAUACAUAAAUCUGCAAACUACAUACUUAUACAUAUGUUCGAAAAGCCUCUAACUGUCAGAACUGUGGAGUUGAUGGGACAUGUUCCCAACUAACUCCGACUAAUAAAAUAGACUGGAUAUAAUACUUGCACUGAAAUAAUAAUUGUCCUCUAAAGAGAAGGACUAACAAAUACUUCUACUGUUGCUGACAGGAACUGAGCUACUAAGGGUGCUCUAGGUCUCGUGCUUCUGAACCUAUGGUGUUAAAUAAAAUAACAACACCAUAGCGCAAAUGUGUCAGUACGUUGGAAUGUAUUGAGUAUGCAAAUGAUGUAAGGCUAAAUGCAAGGGCUUAUGCAUGAACAUAACUUAAUUGAAUGAUAUGCAAGAGUUGGAUUAGCAAACAUAAAGAAUCUGUAACUACUAAUCACACUGCGCAUACUGUCACUGAGCAUACUAGGACUAACUCUUGUAACUGAUACUGAAUAUAUUGAAAUUCUGGAAUUUCUGAACAUAAUGAGAUUUAUGAAUAUCUGAAGCUACUGAAACUGAUAGAAACCCUAUCUAACAGGUUGUCUCCGGAUCUAAUAGUAUUAAGAAUGAUUUACUGAAUCUGAGAUCAACCUAAUCUAGCCAGUAGUCUCUGAAUUUAUGGGUAAUAAUAUUUGAUUAACUGAAUUUGAGAUUGGCUUAUCUAGCUAAUCAUACUUGAUGGUCUAUAUCUAACAGCCUUGAAUUCUAUACACUGAACUGAGCUCUUUUUUUAAAUCAGAGACUGAUUCUGAAAUUGAGACUGUGGGAAAUAGUCAUCUAACAACAUGCCCCAAAUAAGCGACUAUUGCUGAAUUCAGGGUCCAAUCUGUAACCCCAACUGGAAAGGUGUCAGUACCACGCCUCUGGUAAAAACAACUUUAUAUUACCCUCUUCUAUCAGGUACUCAAGCGAGAAUGGUGGAGCCCUCAUCUAACUGGUCAAGCCACCUCAUCUACCCUCAACUAUCAGGUGUGAUGUCUCAACCUACGCUGGCGAUGUAGUUCUGGAGCGCACGGAUUGCUUCUAGGAAUCACACCCUCUACUAAUUGGUGAGUUUCCAUCCUUGAACUCACUCGGUGCUGAAUUCACUUCCAUCUGAAAGACUCGAAACUGAUUGUCAACUGAUCUUAGACUAAGCUAAAUCUUGUUACAAAUUUUCUACUUAACUGAUAUGACUGAGUUUGCUUGGUUCUAUAUCUGGCGGAAUACUACUGAAUUCUACUCUCUGUCUAAGGGCUAUUGAAUCUCAUAUCUUAUCGAGCUUUAUUAAAGUCUUUACUGUAUAUUGAAUUCUACUGAGAUCUGAACUGAGUACUGAGCUUGAUUAAACUGAAUACUGAGAUUAUCAAAUUUUCUUACUGUUCUAUCAAUGACUGAGUUAUACUAAUCAUAUCACGACUGAGAUUAUCUUGAAAAUGACUUGGCUCUAGGCACCCAGCUAUGUUUUUUAGGUACAAGUACCCCCAGGACUCGAUAGAAGGAAACUGACACAACAUGACUUUCUUGAUCAUAGGACUAAAGUCCAUAAUUCAUAAUAUCAUAAGUUGAAGAUUUCAUACUACAUAUGGUUCUUGUAAUCUUAAACAUGAGAGUGAAUGCAUAUACAUCACAUCAUGAGUUCUUCAAUCUAGUUUCAUGAACAUUCCAUCAACAAUCAUAAUACACAACAAUAUCAUGAGCAUUCCAUAAACCAUCUUCAAUACAAGACAAUAGCAUGGAAAUCAUGUUGAACAUAAGUAUAGAACAUGGACUUGUCAUUUAGAUCCUAUUGAGUCAUAAAGACAAGAUUUCUAGUCUCUUGGACAUUUUAACAAAAACCUUGCAUGCAUAUCUUAGGCAUAGGUGAAAUCAUCAAAAUUACACAUCACAAUGACCCAAUUUGCAUGUUUCCAAUUCAUAUACUACCAUGGUUUCAUAAACACACAAGGAUCCCAUCUUGGGAAUCAUCCAACACCAACAACAUGAUCAUCAACAUUUAACAACAUCAACAUCAACAUCCCACAACAUGAUUAUAAUUAUCAAAUACUAGGGUCAAUGCUUGAGUCUUAUAAUCAAAAUAUGAAUUUAAUCUCAACAAUAACAAGAACUUCAAUUUCAAACCACCUAAAUCAUGAAAAAAAUCACAAAAAUAUAUUCUUUGAAUUUAAAAAGGGAUUCGUGAACUUUUUGGGUGAAAGGAACCCAAGAAUCAACACUUGCAUACCUCAAAUUUGUGAAUUCGGAUGAACUAUUGAUUUUGGAACUCUAUUCAUAAGAUUAGUAAGUGCACCUUGUAGCUGUCGAAAUAGAGAUUUUGAAUCUCAAAAAAUUAUUGAAAAACUACGGAUGAAUUUUGAGAGAUCUUGAAUUCUUGGCUAAAGCUCAAGUGUUUGGUUCUUGAGAAUUUUCAUAAAAAUGACCAAAUUUUGGUCCAAUGUAAGCUAAAUCCCGCAUUAAAUCAUGAUUGAGGGAUGGGAAAUGUCCAUUUUUUCUGCGGAAAGACGGAGCUGGAAGUUGAUUUUUGGCCUGGGGCUAUUCAGCAGGCGGCACUUGGACUAAACCCAUGAUCCAGUGGGAGGCGCCUACCUUAUAGCCCAUGAUUCAGUGGGCGAUGCCUGGCUUAUAGCCCGCGAUCCAGUAGGUGACGCGGGCCUAUCACCUCGAGCUACUGGUUCUGAAAUUCAGAUAUGGCCUUAUGUGUUUCAAAAAAUUUUAAAACUCACCCGAGAUGUACUAUGACAUUGCCCUAUCGCAACGCAACUUGAAAAUCAAAAUUUGGAGGUCGAGAAGGUCACGAAAUAAUUCAUCGAAAUUCACAAGCUUAUGGAAUAAAGAAAAUUUCAACACUCAGCCAAAUUUUUAAGUGCUAAGCUUCUCUUGACAAGCUCGAAAAGGCUUUAACAACUCAAAAAACUUACGGGGUAUUACACCAUUGCAUAAGUACAUCAAUAAAAAGGGACAUACUUGAAGUCGACUUGUUAGGUCUCAAGGUGACAGAGGCGAAGUUAAAAGUUGUCACACCUCUAUUUUUUACCGCAUCCAACCCCGCUAAGGAGUUGGUUUUAAAGAAAAAUGGGUUUCUCCAAUUAAAGUGAUGUUUUGAAAAGUGAUUAUUUUAUUUACAGAGCUGCCACUUGAAAUUGAGUUUGGGUGUUCCAGGUCACCUUAUUGAAUCUUCAUUCAAAAGAAAGUGACAUUUAAUUUUUGGUCUGUGAUCUAGAAAUUCGGAUAACGAAUUUUAUUGACCGAGAUGAAGGUGUGAGGUACCCUUCGAGUCCCGUGGUUCUAGCACAGUCACUCUAAUGACUUAUGUAUGGCUUAAAUUAAUCUCUUGAAUAUAGAGGAUUUUCUAGCCUAAAAGUUACUUAUAUCCUGCUUUUAAUUUAUUUUAAGUUAUUUAAUUAUAUUAAUGAGUGGCUUGCUGGUAGUAAUACUUUCCGAUCAUGCCACGAGUUUGGAUAUAUUUAUCGCGCCUUUGAGGCCUUUAUGCGUCAUCCUAUUUUUUCAAGUCUAGAUGAGCACCUAGCAUGUUUAGAAUUUACCCAACCCAAUUAGAUCGGCUUCAAAUGGUAUGUUAAAAUUUAUUACAAUGAAUGGUCGGUAGCAGGGCUUUCCAACUUCAUUGUUAAUUUUCUCUUGUAUAUUAAACUCUUACUUUUCUAAAGAUCAAGAACCUAAGUCAUCUUUCAUGAAUUCACUCCCUUACAAUUAGCUUUUACCCUCUUUUCUUUUAUCAGUUAUGGUCGAUUUUGAAUAAAUUCGGAACAGAUCUCAUUCGCUCUCACAUAAUUAAUUCGGAACAAAAUAUUUUUAUUUUUAAAAGAUUAAUAAUUUAUUUUUGUGCUGACAUAUAACUCAAGAGAACACCAAAAAAAUAAUAAUUGAAAAAAUAAAUUUUAUAUAUAUAAAAUUUAAAGACACGAUUAAAACUCAUAAAUAUUAUUUUAAAUAUCAACUGCAUGGAAUAAUUGGACAAAUAAUUAAAAUAAUAAGAAAAAUAACUUUUUUUUAAUAACAAAUCAUUGAAUAAAAAUAGAUAAAUUUCAAACCCAACCAAUGAUGGCUAAAUUUAAGUGGGUACAUAUUUUCCAAUUCAAUAUACAAUCAAAUUUAUUAUUUACCAUAAUUAUAACUUAAUUGAACUUAAAAAGAGUGUUUUUCUAAUUCAAUACCAAAUCAAAUUUAUUACCUACCACGAUUAUUAUUUAAUUGAACCUAAAAAAAUUUUGAGUCAAAAACAAUCAAAGAACAAUUUCUACUGUUAUCAUCUCAGCAUAUGGAGGAUGAGAUCUAAGUUUUUUAAUAACAUCAAAAUUCUAUUUCCAAGGUUGCAGUAGCAACAGACACGAUUUUUGCUAAAUUCAACAAGAUAAAAUAGUUCUAUAUUUUUAAAAUUGAAAAAUAAUUUGGUUGUGAUUGUUUUCCAAAAUUCACUCGUUAGAGAUUAAUUUCGCAUGGUACGAUGGUGACGAGAAAAAACAGGAGGUAGCGGCGGUCUACCAGCGACUCCAUUUUUGCCGGUGAGUUGUCACCGAAAUCGACCUUAGGGGUCAGAUUCGAGGGAUUUCCGGUCAUGAGGGGAAUUUGGGUCGGUUUUUGGUGUAUUUCGGUGGGUUAUGAGUAGUUUUUCAGUGAGUCGUCGGUUUAGGUUGGUUAUCGAUGGAUUUUGCUGGAAAAAGGGAUGAGAGAGAAGGGAGCAACGGCAGUGGCCGGCAAUGGGGUUUUUGCCAAUUUUUUAGGCGUUGAGAGGUAGAUCUGGAUGGAUUUUGAGGUGGGGGAGGGCGGUUCCGACUGGUUCCACCAUUUUUCGGUGGGUAGUGGCGGCUAGAAGGGGUUUUGCCAGCGAGUUCUUGAUGGACUUCGCCAAAAUUGAUGGUGAGACGGGCUGGCAGCGGCAGAUCUGGCUUUUGUGGUCACCAUUGGUCCAAUUUGAAUUUUUUCCAUGAAAUUCCAUUGAGAAGCUCGGUGAAAAAUGAUUAAUUAAUACUAUUAUUUUUUUUCUGGUCAUCCCUCUCCGUUUAUCUUUUCUUUUUACUGAUUUUUCCUUCUCUAUUUUUUACUGUGCGGAUAUAUAUACAUUGUAGUCUAAGCUAUGAAAGUGUAAGUGAAUUUUCUAGUGAAGUGUAUGAAAUUAUACAGUGUCUGUAUUGAUCCCUUUUUUUAACUUAUUUCAUAUGUACAGGUGUAUGUGUUCUGUAUAUAAAAAUGAUUGUUUGUGAAUGUACAGUGAGUGCAUCUUUCUUUUUUUUUUGAAUUAUGAAAAAAUAAAUAAAUUUACAUGAAAGGGAACACGAAUUUACAAACACAACUUAACGCAAUAUUAUACAUAGCAACAAGAAAUUUUUAUUUGAUGUGACAAUAAUGAAAAUAUAUCAUCCAACUAAAUCAUGGAACGUAUACAUAAAAAAAUUAACGAAACAAUAUGUAAUAACAGCAGAACAAGCACCACUUGCAUAUUUUUAUACAUGCUUUUUCAUCAUAACAUUUAUGACAUAAAUGAUUUGAGAUCAAAAAGAACCUGUAAUGAACUUUAAUGAACAAUGAAACUUUCAAAGGAAACUUCGAACGGAACUUCAACCUCCACUCUUUUCCCUUUUCUUCUUCCCUCCUUUUUGUGUUUCUCUUUAAGGCUUUUUUUUUAUCUGACUCUGUAUUUUUUGUUUCUGUCUUUCUGAG